GACGUAGGAUGCAAGCGUUGUUCGGAUUUAUUGGGCGUAAAGCGAGCGUAGGUGGCUAGUUAAGUCUGGUGUUAAAGCUAGGGGCUCAACCCCUGUGUUGCACUGGAAACUGGCUGGCUUGAGGAUGGUAGGGGAAGGUGGAAUUCCGAGUGUAGCGGUGAAAUGCGUAGAUAUUCGGAGGAACACCGGUGGCGAAAGCGACCUUCUGGGCCAUUUCUGACACUGAGGCUCGAAAGCUUGGGGAGCAAACGGG
rnacentral:rRNA from 1 species